rnacentral:lncRNA from 1 species
GCGCGUAUGGCUCGUAUCAUUUACGAGGCACGCGACGGGAGCCCUGAGUGGCUCUCUAUCGAAAGCUGCUCUAAACCCAGGUCUCACUUGGAGAUCGAUCUCACUCGGAGAUCACGAGUCUGUUGUAGAGUGGCGUCAUCUUACGUCCAGUCCACCGAACCGGUGUGCACAAUUGCUGGCGGUGGAUACCAGACUCCCCCCACGGGUCGUCAUGUGCGAGGCAAGGUCGGGGAUAAGAUGUCACGGCAGCAAUUGAAGAUAAAAUUGAGUUUCUUCAUGUAAAUGCUAGCAGGCUGCUACAUUUGCACAAUGAGUGAGUGCAAAGCUUCUCUUUAAUUUAUACUUAUCCUUAUCCAAGCAGACUGUUACCUAAUACGUCUGAGUCUAUAUUCACUUCAUCCAGGAAAAUGCUUCAAAAUCGCGUUUUUCGUCGGUAAAUAGCAUUGUAACCUUGCGUCAGUUGACACAAGAUUUCACUGCCGCAUCCGGAAUCUCAGUGCAUAGCUGUCUAUGCAUCAUGAGCUUAGGUAUUGUUUCCUUUUUCGUUAGGUCAUGCCUCAACUUGUAGCGCUUAAUCGCUCAUGCCACAACAAAGUUUGCGGACUUGUUAAAGGUUAAAAGAAAAUAUAUUUCCUUCAACAGAUGUCCGUCAAAUGAGGCUACAAAUGAGCUGUUUUCUUCUGCCAAUUAUGUUACUAUAGCACGUUGCUAAUGGAAGGCGGUCAUGAAUAAGACUAUUUGCAGUUGUGCCUCAUCAUCAUUUAUUUGCCAAAUACAAUUUCAAUUGCUACUGUUAUCCCCGGCUAUAGUGUCUACGGUGGCGAGCUUUCUCCGCGGACCUUCAACUUCAAGACCUUCUACUUCAAGACCUUCUACUUCAAGACCUUCUACUUCUAGACAACUAAAGGGAUAUUCGCGUCAUACUGUACUCUCGAUGACCUGCAUGUCGGGCGUGCCAUGUCCUGAGGAGCGUUGUUUUCAAUACCCUCAGUGCACAUACUGCACCAGACUAUAUUUACGGACGUUGACUGUUUGUUUUAGGCACUGUUUCAAGCAUUGUACGAUGGCCGAAAACAAUAGUAUUUGUUAACGUUUUCAAGUGCCAUUCGGAAUAUCCGAAACUACGACGCAAUGUUAGUUGGAAAUAACGUAUCUAGUUAAUCAUGUUAUCGCAUGAUGUUCUUGUUCAUUGGCAAACAUUAUUUCAGCAGUCGAUACGUCCUCCAAACUUCAGUAACUGUUACUAUAUAGUCCCCGUUCGUCACAAACAACCGUUGACAUUUUGUCAACCUCAAAUUCGAAUAUAUUAACCGUUUACACGCACGAGAAUAUCCCUUUAUCCAAACUAGCAAGUGUGUCUACUGUUUUCUUACUAGGCAAACAAAAGUUUGUCACAGCAUGUGCGCAGUUCACUUUACCUAUGUGCAUUCAUACUAAAAGCCAUUCGUCCACAUGCAAGUUAUUUAUUUGCGCUAUUGACGUAAGCUUUCAUGAAGGCCAAACCAAUGCUGAUUCGUCAAUGCUGAUUGUCAGCUUGAAAGUAAAGAUGAGCAAAGUGGUUCAACUGAAUCUUAUGGUUGCAGUAGGGCAUAUUAGAAGUAAGUGACAAGUAUAUGUCAGCAAUUGUUUAUGCUUCUUAACCCUAGAUACUUUUGAUUCGAUCCUUUGGGUGAUGACGUAAUGUGGCAGAAAACAGUAGACACACUUCAUCUCAUCGGAAACCCUGAAUGAUUGGUAUUUGUGAGCAUGUGUGCCUGUGAGUGUGUAAGGGUGGAUGUGGGUGUGUGGGUAUGUAUGUGCGUAUGUGAGCGUGUGCGUGUCAUCUUACACGUAAUUUAGUGAAUGAGUGAAUAGGUACUAGUUUUCAAGUAAAUACGUGCAUGAGUGCGUGUAGUCAGUGGUGUAUGGAACUAGCAUUGUGCCUGCCUGCUGCCAACGAAAUAUGCAAGCCCACACAGAGAAAACAGUUUUAUUGUGCAAAACUUCAUGCUGCUGGCAGGGUUUACAUGCAAGUCACAUAUUGCAGGUCUACCAUAAGCAGAGCGAUGUGACAUCUGAUAAGUACCUAACUCACAGCAACACAUACUCUGCAUGUCCAGGGAAAGUGAGUUGUGCUCGGAACAGAUUGGCCAGACAGUUUUGUCCUAUCAAAUUCAGAAUUGUUUCAUCCUCCUCACAGUUGCCAUUAACAUCAUGAGCACACAUUAUUGCUAGAUCUGAAUGCCAGCUGCCUAUUGCACCGCUGGCACGUAUGUUUGAGACAAAGGUGCCGCCAGUUUUCCACCUCGCUGCUGAUACAAUGCAAUACUGCUACAAAAUGUCCGUGUUCAGUGUUUUUAGUGUUGUAUGUUUGUAUAUGAGUCUUGCGUCGUGUGAACAUUACCUACAUGAGUUUAAAGUGUUCCCGCGAAAGUAGGUACUGAAUUAGCUCAAGCCAGGAUUGCGUUGCGGAUAUAUUUGUAGGCCAUACAAUGUUUUAUGGCGUCAUUUACGACAUUUCCUGUUUUUCUUGUCGUUGUAUGCACGUGAGUUGUGCCGCAUGUUGCGCUUGCAAAUCAUGUUCUCAAUGUCAUUUUCUUUUGGUACAAUUGGUCACCACUACACAUCACUCGCAUACACUCGCCCAAGCAAGUCGGAUAUCAAUCACUGUCCAGAAGUGCAUGAUGCAUUCAACCACGCAUAGAACACUGGCACACCAAGAACAUGAACUCACGCAAAAACGAGAGGGCUAUCACACGACUUCGCAUUGGACACACCGCUAUCACACACAACUACAUCAUCACAAGAAGCCCGAGACCGAAAUGCAACACCUGCAACACUUUCAUCACUGUCAAACAUCUGCUACUCACAUGCCCACAAUACCGACACCACAGGACACACAUACAAACAUACUGCAGAGACGCCAACAUCCCACUAACACUCACAACACUGCUCGAGGACUUACACCCCGAGCUAACAACACUACUCAUCCACUAAAGACACAACACUGGGCUGAUCAAUGACCUGUAAAUCUCCUCCCCUAGAGCCAAGGACAAAAAAGCCAAAAAAGCCAAAAAAAGAAGCCAAAAAGAAAAAACAAUAUUCAAAACAAUGAGAAUCAAAAUAAAAGACCCCAGAAUGGCAAAAUGGCAAAAAAAAAAACAAAAACAAAAAAACAUAAUAGAAGGGGCAAUUCGGCUACCCGGGAGGAGAUAGCUAGGAACCCUGUCCCACCCCUCAGCCCACCCUUACGAGCCAAGAAGACGACGGACACUUCAAGACAACGGACGGACCAACAACGAAGACGGACGACAGAACCGGGCCCAAAUACAGGACGCUGUGGUGGCCCGUAAGCCACAAAUACCAUACCAUACCAUACCAGUGCAUCAUGCAGCAGAAGAAGCUUCAUUGAACACACUCGUCAUCAUGAACGGCAUCUAGGAGUUUCAUGAGUUUGGAUCUGUGACCAGUUGUUUUCGCAGUAUCCAAUAGCAACCGUGUAUGACCAGGUGCCGCUUGGACGCCUUGUCCAGCCACGUCUUCCGGGACUGUGUGAUGACUGCCUCUGCAAUCUCAAGUGCCAGUUUCUGCCUCCGGCCUAUUUCUUUAUCAAAGGAUGUUGGUAACUGAACGACCAGCUCUGCUCCAAGAUUCCAAAUCGUUUUACGGUAUUGUAUGCCUACAAAACGUUAGUAUUUGUUUUGGAGGCGGUAAUACUCGGAUGAACUGACCUUUAUGGGUGGGUAUUCAACGUUGAAUCAAGUAGGCUUGUAGCCAUCUGCCUAUUGACUUCUAAGGGUUUUAGUAAAAUUUAUAUAAUAUCUCAUCUGAAAUGCAUUUUCACUCUCAGUCGUCGAAAUUGAAAAAUCAUAAGCUUAGAAAUCCGCGGGCUUGACAUAUUAUAUUUUCUCGACGAUUCGUUUCGACUUGCCGACAUGUCAGCUAAUCAUCCGCUGCUUCUCCUAUUUUCACAGGUGCAUUACUCUCAAGUGCCAGUUUCUGCCUCCGGCCUAUUUCAUUAUCAAAGGAUGCUGUUAGCUGAACGAACAGCUCUGCUCCAAGAUUCCAAACGUUUUUACGGUAUUGUAUGCCUACAAAACGUUAGUAUUUGUUUUGGAGGCGGUAAUGCUCGGAUGAACUGACCUUUAUGGGUGGGUAUUCAACGUUGAAUCAAGUAGGCUUGUAGCCCUCUGCCUAUUGACUUCUAAGGGUUUUAGUAAAAUUUAUAUAAUAUCUCAUCUGAAAUGCAUUUUCACUCUCAGUCGUCGAAAUUGAAAAAUCAUAAGCUUAGAAAUCCGCGGGCUUGACAUAUUAUAUUUUCUGGACGAUUCGUUUCGACUUGCCGACAUGUCAGCUAAUCAUCCGCUGCUUCUCCUAUUUUCACAGGUGCAUUACCAGUCGUCUUUACCGUCGAUACCGUUGAAGAUUUUACCGUCGAUCAGGGAGCACCCAUUGCGCUGGCCGUUGCUGGCACUUUUUUAUUUGUCACUAGCUAUUAGUUAUCUGCACAUAUACAUUAGCCACCUGUGCACCCGGUUACACUAGCUCUCAUCAUCUAGUUCUACGUAUGUGUGUGUUUGUUUUAAUUGAAUUGCCAAUGAAUUCGGUAGACAUGCUCCGCCCGCAAACAUGUACCACAUGAUGCAGUCCACUGAAUGUAGCAGUUAAUCACUCGUAAAAAGCAGUCAGGUUUUCGUAUAGUGUAGGUUUGCAUCUAUGUAAGCAUGUGUUCACACUCAUGAGCGAUCGACACAUGAUAUUGCAUUUCCUGUUCAGUUACAUUUUUAGCACUGGAACACGAUGCUCAUACACUGUGUUGUUAUCUUUCUUUUUUCGCCUGCUCCUUCCUCCAACUUGUGUCUUUGAGUAUUUCAGUCACAUGCUCAAACGUUCUUAAAUGCUCUCGCCAUCGGUUUACGGAUGCGUUGAAAACGGACAUGUGUUGACCAAAUUUAACAAUAUGCGGACAAUGGAUCGACUUCUUGAAGCCUCUGGGCGUGAUACACCUUCUCCAUCACCAUCAAGAGAUCAACAUUUUCGAAGACACUUGCGUACGGCCGUAGUGUCCGGCGCAAUGCUGAAUGCGACCUGUUAUCUGUUGGAUCUACUCUGUGAGCCCGAACCCCAGUGCAAUGGCACUGUUCGACUACAGCGCUGGACGUCGUCUACUUUUUGCUAGAAGCAAAUGUCACCAUCCGUCCAUGAACUUCGGGCUGCUCACAGCUAUAUUGCCUUGGCAAGUUCUUUGAGCACUUAAUACUGGACUUGGGCUGCGAAAGCUAAUGACAAUUUGGGGAGCUUGAUAUUGCAAUGGCUAUGACGUGAAGGUCCAAUAUGGCGAACAGCUCGACUAUUCACCAUUGUCAACGCUUAUGAUAGCUAAAUAUCAUUGUGCUUGGUGUACAUUCACGUCUCGUUUCCUUGCUCCAUUUGUACCUCACCGGUCGUCCGUCCCCACAGGCCUCGGCUGCAGCACAAGCUACAUUCAUCGGCCCAAUCAUCAGUUAUUCGUCCUGCAAGUUUUAAGUCACUUCGUUGUGACCCGGACAUCGUCAUCUUUCAACGAGUUCAAAUGAUUAUUUCAUUCAUCAUCGUCGAUCAGACUCAUCAUGUAAAGACACUUCCAUAAUGCUAGCCGCCAUCUACGUUUGUGCAGGAAGCAAAUAUCAGGUUGUUAUUAGCUGCGGGCUACUCAGUACCGACUGAAGUACUGGCAGUAGUGUGCGAGCACCUAAUACGUGUAUUGUGAUACCAAAGCUAAAACGGAUGAUAGCUUAGCGCAUAGCGCCCUACCGCUUUCCACACACACACACAAACAAAACUUGACUUUGGGCAUUAGCACCAUGGCAGGAUAAACAGGCAGUUUCGCUGUUUUUCACUGCUUUCAUUGGCAGGUGUUACUGCUCAUUCCCGUUUUAUGUGAUGUUAGAACAGCCCUUCACCAUAGUCCUGUUUUCUCCUUUGCCGUUUUCCAUAGACAUCAGAUGCGACAUGCACUCCAACGAUCGGUCAGGCGCAUCACCGUCAAUCCGGUCGCCUGUUAAGCAGUUCGUAAUCACCGUCAGUCUUCGACAUCUGUCAACACACUUAUCCACAUUAUCGCCUUACUUUUGAUCUUAUCAAUAUGCAAGAAUGAGUGCAAAAUGCAUUCCAAUAUUGCAUCAGUUGAUGUUGUAUCGCAAUGACACCGCGUCCUCACCUCACAUCUGUUGUGCAUACUUGAUCACGAAUGCCAGUUAUACGCAGAUUCACAUGGUGAAGUUUUACUCCGUUGACGUUUUCUUUCAAUACUUGUA